ensembl:lincRNA
UAACCAUUAGUGUACCACUAUCAACCUCCAAAAUUCCAUGUCAUUCCUUUGUAGGUACACCCUCUCUCAACCCUAAUUUCUCAAAAAUGUCAGUGAAACAGGGUAUAAUUCUUUAAAAACUAAAAACCGAAGAACUCAGGCCCCGUGAAGGUGGCGUCUUUAAAGCCACUGCCCAUCUCUCACCUCCAAAAUCUGUCCCUACCCUGCCCGCUCCGGCGCGUGCAGCAGCUCGCCGUCGAGGCACUCUUACUCAGCAUUCAGCGCGCCGCGGGAGGCGGGAGUGCGCGCGCCGCCCCUCGUGCCCACCUCCCCCACCCUGUUCGCCACCGGCUGGCGUCUACCGUUGCCUGGCGCCCCAGGCCCUGAGGUGGGACGGUCGGCCGCUGACACCCUCCCCUUUCGACCCUGAAGUACCCGGCCUGGUGGCCCCAGGAAGUUCCCGUCGCAUGGCGGAGUGCUGCGGACCACGCCCAUGAAGUCCGUAAUCCUUCUAGCGGCGCUGUUGCUAUGGCCUGCGUCCUCGCCGGCGUUUCCGGUGUACCGGAGCUUAACUGUGUCACCCAGUGAAGAAAAAAACUUGAAUCGUUAUGUGCAAGUUUUAGAGAAUUUAAUGCUGAGUGUUCCCACGAAGGAGCCAGACCAAGUGGAAAUAUUAAACUCUCCAAACAAUGGCUAUUCUCCAGACAUGGCUGUCUCAAGACUGAAGGCGCUCAGCAUACCCGGAGAUGCGGUAACUCUGGGCGGCACUCCCCCCCGUGGCAGUCUUGGGAGCACAGCUUUCCCUGCGACCAGCCCCACGCUGGGGACAGCAAGCAGCAAACCCACUGAAAGCACACCCUUCUGGUCCAUCAGACCCAACAAUGUCUCUGUUGUUUUGCACACAAAAGAACCUUACAUUGAAAAAGAGCCAGAGCCAGAGCCAGAGCCAGAGCCAGAGCCAGAGCCAGUCGUGGAACACACCGAGACCCCCAGGUCGUCCCCGUCCACCUCCAGGUCCUCCUGGAGUCCGCCUUACACCACCACCCAACCUUCGCGCACAGAUUCGGAGUUCUCCACGGAGUCUGAAGAUGUUCCCCAGCUCUCAAACGAAAACCUCCAAGAGCCAACUGACCAUCACUCACGGGUUAUGAAUAAUGAUGACAUUUUGAAAGAAAUCUCAGCUAUCUACUCCCUGCUGCAACAGGCACCCCUGGGUGACAAGCAUGACCCAGAGUAUAAAGAGGUCAUUGAGGGCUCUGAAGAGAGCCUGAGAAGAAGUCUUGCUCUGGCAGCAGCAGCAGAACACAGAUUGGAAAAAAUGUAUGAAUCUCAUGUCUUUCCAGAAGAGCAAACCAGUAAGGGGACUUACGGCAUUGAAACUGUUAUUAACAUGCUAUAUGAUUCCAGAUCUAAACUAUCAAAAUAUUUAGAUAUGAAAUAUGUUCCACCAGAGAUGAGACAAAAGGCAACCACAGUAUUCAACACGUUGAAAAACAUAUUAUGUGUAGGUCAAGAGGACACUCCAAACCUUAUUAAGAGGUUAUUAAGAAAUAGUAUAAAAAUGUUGGACCGGGGACAUAGCUCAGCAAGAUAGCGCCUACCGGGUAAGCGUAAGGUCCUGAGUUCAAGUCCUGGUACCCGCUCCAAAGGAAAUAAUAUAAAAAAUGUUAAGUCUAAUUGAUACUCCAUGACAACAUUGAUUUAAACAAACUGCAUUCAUUCACAGGAAAACAAGCACAUUAGUGAUUUCUAAAGUUGUGUAUUUUCUAAUGUAGUUCAGUGUGCUCACAUCUUUAUAUGUCAUGUAUAAUGAAAAUUUUUAUAUGCACUGAAAAACCUAAUAAUUUAAAAUAAAAUUUUGGUUUUGGAGUUAGUAGUUUUUCUCAUUAAUUUAGAAAGUGGUGGAGAUCUAAUCUUUAAAAUAAUUAAGC